AUGCCCUUAUAAAGGCCAGCCCAACCCUCGGCCUGCAAGAUUCUUCGCAGUGCAUCAAGCAUAUUUUUGUAAGCGCGGUACUCAACUCGAGCACCAUACUUUGGAUGCCUUUGUAGUCCUUCAAUCUGGAACCUUUUUUUAACCACAUCAAGAGGAUGACAGACUAGUUUGGCACAUGUCCCAGCAGCUAAUCCACAGACAAAAAGCUGAAAGCUUGA
rnacentral:misc_RNA from 1 species